rnacentral:rRNA from 1 species
GUAGGUGGCAAGCAUUGUCCGGAAUUAUUGGGCGUAAAGCGCGCGCAGGCGGUUCUUUAAGUCUGAUGUGAAAGCCCACGGCUCAACCGUGGAGGGUCAUUGGAAACUGGAGAACUUGAGUACAGAAGAGGAAAGCGGAAUUCCACGUGUAGCGGUGAAAUGCGUAGAGAUGUGGAGGAACACCAGUGGCGAAGGCGGCUUUCUGGUCUGUAACUGACGCUGAGGCGCGAAAGCGUGGGGAGCAAACAGGAUUAGAUACCCUGGUAGUCCACGCCGUAAACGAUGAGUGCUAAGUGUUAGGGGGUUUCCGCCCCCCUUAGUGCUGCAGCUAACGCAUUAAGCACUCCGCCUGGGAGUACGGCCGCAAGGCUG